rnacentral:misc_RNA from 1 species
GAUGAAGAUGAAGAAGAAAAACCCGAUGUUGUUGUGGAGAAGAAUUCUCUGGGUUUAUUGAGUUCAGUUGAUGGAAUCAAAACUGUAGAUUGACGUAGAUCGGAAAUUACAGAGCGAAUUUACAGAAUUACCAUCUCCAUCGGACGGAGCUUCUUAUCGGAACACCCCCGCCGGCGACUGGAAUUGGUAGGGGAGGGGGAGCACUAAAUGUGGCUAUAUUUGUAAAACACUGAAAACAAAGAGUUUUUUUGUUGUAUUUUUUUG